rnacentral:lncRNA from 10 species
AGAUUCCCCGAGAGCCAGGCAGAAAAAGUGGACCCUGCCCCCAGAGCGCAGGCCCAGGGAGAGGCAGGCAGGUGGCCAGUCUGAGUCAGCGGGAUGGAGGCGCCUGGCAUGGGGAAGGGGUGUGUAGCCUGGGAGGGGCCUUGGGCGGGAGCAUCCCCGGGGAGAGAGCUGGAGCCAGUUCCCUUAGGACACAUGAUAACUGGCAGAGGAAGAGCAGCUGCUGGGGAACGGGGGGUGGUGUGUAGGGAGCUGCACACCCUGGGGUGGUCAAGGCAGAAUGGGCACCAGCUGCAGCCCACCAGGCCUGCUCUUGGGGUCCCAACAGGCAGGGAGAAGUGGUGGACCUGUGUCCGAGCAUCAGGGGGCGCUGCAAGUGGGCAUGCUGGGUGCCCAGCAGGGGUACCAUCAUUCCCCAGGGGUGUAGAGAGUGGGCCGAGCCCGGGAGCCCUCUGAGGAGGCUCUGCCACCACCUGUGGGACAGCAGGAGGAGCUUGAACUCUGUGGGGACUUGGAGCAGAAAGGACCCGCCGCUGGAAGUGAGGGUCACAGGAAAGGGGAAGCCCCGGAGCCCCUGGUCCUUGGCUUGGAGAGCUGGGUACACAAUGAUGCCCAACCCUCAUAAGGUCCACACAUGACAGGGUGCCUCCAAUCCACUGUGGACGGUGACAGGAGUGGCUCAAGGCUGCCAGGAUAAAGAAGGACGGGUGUAACGGGUCAAGGCGAAUCCAAGCUUUGAGGUGUGCAGGUACAGAGGACUCUUGUGUGGUCCCCACAGCCAUGGGUGCACAGGCCAGUGGGUGCAUUCAGGGGACACGGCAGAGGGAGGUGCAUUUUUGUGCUGUUUUCCUCUGUGCCAGCCCCCUGGGAAGCAGGCACUGUUGAUGCCCUGUCCCUAGGUCUCACUUCUGAGUUCGCCUGCAGCUGGGAGGCAGUUCCUGUGGGCACUGGGGCUUCCCACCCACCUCAACCCUGCCUGAGAGUUUCCUCUGGUGCCCAGGAGCUCCCUCGGGAGGAGCGCCGCCAGCUUGGGGAACUAGGGGUUUGGUCCCCACAGGGCCACCUGGGCUAAUGCCCCUGGGGGCACAUUCAGCCAGCACUUCACCAGGUCCCUUGUGAGGCCUCAGCUGUCCCCACUGUCCCUCUGAGCCUCCUCCUGGAAUGGGUGCAAUGGAUACCAGCGUCAGCCCCUUGCAGACCUAUCCAGAUGCAAGGACUUGGCUCUUUGGACCACUCCAAGCCACCCUGAGAUGCCACGUGGAACCCUAGGAAAACCCACCUCUGCAAGAAGGUCCUGAAAUCAGGUAACUUCUCGCUACAGUGUAAAUGACUGAUAGGCUCAAACGGGCCGUGGGAGGGUUUCAGGACAGGGUACAGGAAAUGACCUGCAAGUCUGCAGAGCCAGUCUGCAAACUCUGGGGAGCACCCCUCAAUGCCCUUAGGCCACCUUUCCUUCUCUGACCUCUGUCCCCAUCCCUGCCCCAAGUUGUGUCUCUUUGACACCUGGGAUGUAAGCUGUGAAAGCUAAACUGCACUGUAGUUGGAGACUCUUGAGAAACCGAAUGAACAAUAUUUCUGAAGAUCUCCCACGAAGGUUGCCUCCCUCCCUGCGGUCAGGCUGCCUGCAGGCCUAGUCCCAGCAGAUCUCCGGGAGAUGCUGACUGCUGGCCGGAUGCCUGUGUGGUUACGAUCCGGUUACAUCUCAGCCCCCUGCUGAGAAAGAGGCGCUAAGGUGGCCCUGGAGCCGUGAAUUCACUGGGAUUGAGAUCAUCUCGGCGACUUUAUCAUGAAGGCCAGCACAGGAGGCCCCUCCUUCCUGUUGGAGAUGUUUAGUUUUAUGAUUAAGAAA